UACGAGGGGGGCGAGCGUUGUUCGGAAUUAUUGGGCGUAAAGGGUGCGUAGGCGGCCUGACAAGUCUGAUGUGAAAUCCCUGGGCUCAACCCGAGGGCCUGCAUCGGAAACUGUCGGGCUUGAGUAUGGGAGAGGUGAGUGGAAUUCCUGGUGUAGCGGUGAAAUGCGUAGAUAUCAGGAGGAACACCUGUGGCGAAAGCGGCUCACUGGACCAUAACUGACGCUGAUGCACGAAAGCUAGGGGAGCAAACAGG
rnacentral:rRNA from 1 species